CUGGGCGUAAAGCGCAUGCAGGUGGUUUGUUAAGUCAGAUGUGAAAGACCCGGGGCGUUAACCUCGGAAUAGCAUUUGAAACUAGGCAGACUAGAGUACUGUAGAGGGGGGUAGGAAUUUCAGGUGUAGCGGUGAAAUAGCGUAGAGAUCUGAAGGAAUACCGGUGGCGAAGGCGGCCCCCUCGGACAGAUACUGACACUCAGAUGCGAAAGCGUGGGGAGCAAACAGGAUUAGAUACCCUGGUAG
rnacentral:rRNA from 1 species